AAAGGGAGACCUAAUUCGGGUAGAAGACGAAAAAAAAGUAGUCCCUACCAAGAAUCAAUCCCAAAAGGUCGGAACGAGGUAUGUGGCUUUCAAACUAGGUUCUGGGUUCACACAAGACCUGAAUCAGGAACAAGGGCUAUUAGCUCAGGUGGUUAGAGCGCACCCCUGAUAAGGGUGAGGUCCCUGGUUCGAGUCCAGGAUGGCCCACCUGCACAGGUGGUAAAAACAAAGAAAAGAAGCGAGGAAUCAGCACCUUAUCUUAUCUAUAUAUAAGUAAGAGAGAAUGCUGGCUCUAAGUGAAGAGUCCAGAGGAACCUUGAAAACUGCAUAGAGCUAGGUGAAAAAGCCAAAAAAGAAGACCGCAAG
rnacentral:tRNA from 1 species